rnacentral:rRNA from 1 species
AUUGAACGCUGGCGGCAGGCCUAACACAUGCAAGUCGAACGAGUGGCGGACGGGUGAGUCAUGUCUGGGAAACUGCCUGAUGGAGGGGGAUAACUAAUGGAAACGGUAGCUAAUACCGCAUACCAUCAGAUGUGCCCAGAUGGGAUUAGCUUGUUGGUGGGGUAACGGCUCACCAAGGCGACGAUCCCUAGCUGGUCUGAGAGGAUGAACAGCAACACUGGAACUGAGACACGGUCCAGACUCCUACGGGAGGCAGCAGUGGGGAAUAUUGCACGAUGGGCGUAAGCCUGAUGCAGCCAUGCCGCGUGUAUGAAGAAGGCUUUCGGGUUGUAAAGUACUUUAAGUUGGGAGGCGUUACCAACAGAAUAAGCACCGGCUAACUCCGUGCCAGCAGCCGCGGUAAUUC